GGUUGUGGCUCAGUGGUAGAGCGCUUGCCUGGCAUGCAUGAGUGCUGGGUUCAAUUCCCAGCACCA
rnacentral:tRNA from 1 species